ACUCCAGCCUGGCGUGGAGGAGGACGGCGCUGAGCAGCGCCCCGAGGGGGUUCCUGAAGAACUGACAAGGGAGGAGCUGUUGAACAGGACGAGGGUCGCGAGAGAAAAGGCAACUGCAGAAACGCAGGUGCGCCCCGGAAAGUCUACACCGAAGGGUUUAGCAGCAGCUCUGCGGACCUCCACGGGCCCUUAAAAGGCGGAAGCACAGACCUCAGCGUGGAAGGUUUUCAUUCAGGGACAGGAAUGUUCACGGUGCCUGAUGUGCGCACAAGCAGUCGCCACGUUUCUAAGAGCGACGCCUCGUCCAGCAGCGCCUCAGGCAGGGCUCUCGGGAGGGAUUGGGAAGGCCGCCCUGUUAGCAGAGGUGGUGACAGCUCCAGGUGCGCCACUGUCCCCUGAAGACCUUCUGAUGGGACAAGAUGAGGAGGCGGGAGACAGUGAUACUGACGAUCCUCACUGUGUAGGCCUAGGCUAAUGUGUUUCUGUUUUCAUUCUUAACAAAAAAGUUUAAAAGUUAAAAAAAAAAUUAAAGAGAAAAGCUGCCAUACUAUAAAGAAUAUUUGCCUGUAUUCCCAGAACUCUGGAGGCCGAGGCAGGAGUGACACAGCAGGUAGGCAGUCAGGCAGGAGCGGAAGGGGGAGGGCUGCCCCAGCCCACCAGGAGUGCCAGCUGAGUGACCAGGGCUGUUGAUGAAGAGUGCUGAACUCUGUAAAAUGCUGGGUUUGUUUUCUGUAAAAUACUUGAAGAGAUUUAUUCUGAGCCAAAUGUGAGCGUGGCCCGUGACACAGUCCUAGGAGGUCCUGAGAACAUGUGCCCAAGGUGGUCGGCGUGUAGCUUGGUUUGUGCAUUUUAGAGAGGCAUGAGUCAUCAAUCAAAUAUAUUUUAAAAAUACAUUGGUUUGGUCCAGAAGGGCGGGACAACUCAAAGGUGGGGGCAGGGGGGAAGAGCUGCGAGGCUAUUGGUGAAUUUAAACAUUUUCUGGUUGACGGUUGAGUUUGUCUGAAGACCUGGGAUUGAUAGAAAGGGAAUGUUCAGGCUAAGAUAAAGAUUGUGGAGACCAAAGUUCUUUGAAGUCUUAUAGUGGCUGUCCUUAGAGACAACAGAUGACGAAUGUUUCCUAUUCAGAUCUUACUUAAUCUCUUUAGAAUUGGGAGGGUCUCUCUGGAAGAAAAAGAUCGUUAUGUUAAUAGAUUCUUUACAGAUGCAAAUUUCCCCCACAAAGAACAGCUUUGCAGAGCCUUUUCAAAAUAA